rnacentral:rRNA from 1 species
UAACGGGGCGGUCCUCUAUGAGGCCCGUCAUUGUAUUGAGUAAAACUCAAAAUAUUUAACGAAACCAAUUGGAGGGCAAGUCUGGUGCCAGCAGCCGCGGUAAUUCCAGCUCCAAAAGCAUAUAUUAAAGUUGUUGCGGUUAAAAAGCUCGUAGUUGGAUCCAUGACCUCGGAGGGCGGUCCCCCACUGGGUGCGUACUGCUGCUCCGAGUCCUAUCUGUCAGUUUGUCUGUGUUGCCUUUAAUCGGGUGGCACAGGUGACUGACGUGUUUACUUUGAAAAAAUUAGAGUGUUUAAAGCAGGCGUUGAAUGCCUGAAUAGUGGUGCAUGGAAUAAUGGAAUAGGAUCUCGGUUCUAUUUUGUUGGUUCAAGAGCAUGAGAAAAUGAUUAAGAGGGACAGACGGGGGCAUUUGUAUUGCUGCGUUAGAGGUGAAAUUCUUGGAUCGUAGCAAGACAAACUACUGCGAAGGCAUUUGCCAAGAAUGUUUUCAUUAAUCAAGAACGAAAGUUAGAGGUUCGAAGGCGAUCAGAUACCGCCCUAGUUCUAACCGUAAACCAUGUCGACUAGCUAUCUGUCAGCGUUAAUAAUGACCUGACAGGCAGCUUACCGGAAACGAAAGUUUCUCGAUUCCGGGGGUAGUAUGGUCGCAAAGCUGAAACUUAAAGGAAUUGACGGAAGGGCACCACCAGGAGUGGAGCCUGCGGCUUAAUUUGACCCAACACGGGAAAACUCACCCGGCCCGGACACCGUAAGGAUUGACAGAUUAAUAGCUCUUUCUCGAUUUGGUGAUUGGUGGUGCAUGGCCGUUCUUAGUUGGUGGAGCGAUUUGUCUGGUUAAUUCCGAUAACGAACGAGAUUCUAACUUACUAACUAGUUCCACGAUCCUUGUGGUCCUAAAUACUUCUUAGAGGGAAAACCGGCAUUUAGUCGAACGAGAUUGAGCAAUAACAGGUCUGUGAUGCCCUUAGAUGUCCGGGGCUGCACGCGUGCUACACUGAAGGAAUCAGCGUGUUUUUCCCUUGCCUGUAAUGGCUGGGUAACCGACUGAAUCUCCUUCGUGCUAGGGAUAGAUCAUUGAAACUAGUGAUCUUCAACUUGGAAUUCCUGGUACGUUUGAGUCAUAAGCUCAAGCAGAUUACGUCCCUGCCCUUUGUACACACCGCCCGUCGCUACUACCGACUGGCAAUAUCUUUGAGACACUUGGAGCGGCCGUGAGCUACCCUAACCGGUAACUCACGGCUGCGAAAAGGUU